GAUGAACGCUAGCGGGAGGCUUAACACAUGCAAGUCGAGGGGUAAGCGGGGUAGCAAUACUUUGCUGAGACCGGCGCACGGGUGAGUAACGCGUAUGCAACCUGCCCUUUACAGGGGGAUAGCCCGGAGAAAUCCGGAUUAAUACUCCAUAGUCCUGUGACCUCGCAUGGGGAUACAGGUAAAGCUUUUGUGGUAAAGGAUGGGCAUGCGUGACAUUAGCUUGUUGGGGGGUAACGCCCACCAAGGCUACGAUGUCUAGGGGUUCUGAGAGGAAGGUCCCCCACACUGGUACUGAGACACGGACCAGACUCCUACGGGAGGCAG
rnacentral:rRNA from 1 species